AGGCUAGGGUUUUUUGUUUUUUCUGAAAACUGUUUAGGUUUUUGGGCUUAUUGGGCCAUUAGGGUUUUUUUUUGUUUUUGGUUAUUUGGGCCUGAUGUAAUGGACUAUUAUUUUGGACUUUUUAUUUUUAUUAUUUUUUUAUAUUUUUGGGCCCGGGCUAAACCGGCCUGUUACAAGUAUGAUAUUUACUUUAAGGUUCAUAGAAGUAGUUCUCGAAGUUAGCCCUUAAAAUUGGACAUUAAAUCCAGAGUUAAAAUAUAUGGCUUUGAAAAAUUCAAUUGUUCAAUCAAUAAUUAUAUAAGAAAAAGAUUAUGAACAUUAAUUU
rnacentral:lncRNA from 1 species